rnacentral:rRNA from 1 species
UGGGGAAUAUUGCACAAUGGGCGCAAGCCUGAUGCAGCCAUGCCGCGUGAAUGAUGAAGGCCUUAGGGUUGUAAAAUUCUUUCGCCAGGGAUGAUAAUGACAGUACCUGGUAAAGAAGCCCCGGCUAACUUCGUGCCAGCAGCCGCGGUAAUACGAAGGGGGCUAGCGUUGUUCGGAAUUACUGGGCGUAAAGCGCACGUAGGCGGACUUUUAAGUCAGAUGUGAAAUCCCGAGGCUCAACCUCGGAACUGCAUUUGAAACUGGGAGUCUAGAGAUCAGGAGAGGUUAGCGGAAUACCGAGUGUAGAGGUGAAAUUCGUAGAUAUUCGGUGGAACACCAGUGGCGAAGGCGGCUAACUGGACUGAUACUGACGCUGAGGUGCGAAAGUGUGGGGAGCAAACAGGAUUAGAUACCCCCGUAGUCC